UACGAAAGAAAACCACCUACCUUCACUUUUGCAUCAGAGGAGCUCGUCGAAUGGUGUAGGUAAAUGUACUCUUUUAACUCCUCACUAGAACCGCUGCUUGAAUUUCCGGAAGUAGAUUUAUACACCAGCCAGACAAUGAAUCCGUCUUCAACAUCCUUGCUCUUCAAUCUCCCUGCUAGAUGCCUGUGCUAUAUAUAUAUAUAUAUGUUUCCUCCAAAUACAUGAAAAUGUCAAUGGUGGAAUACCUUUGCAACUAAAUUACAGAGGUCAAUCAUAGACUGGAGUUCUCAAACAACAUAUCACAUUCCAUACAUCUACAGAUAUGAUGAUCAAAAUGGUAAAUGCCAAUUAAUUAUCUACUGCCACCGGCAAAGUAAUGUAGACGGCUUGGAUUACAAAAAACCUCAUUAACAUGUUUACCUAUUUACAAAAACGGGAAAUACGU